GAGGGAUCAUUACUGAGUUACCGCUCUACAACCCUUUGUGAACAUACCUUAACUGUUGCUUCGGCGGGCAGGAGGACGACCCCCUCGGGGGUGCAGUCCCCCUCCCGGCCGCGCCCUCACGGGCGUGGCGCCCGCCGGAGGAUACCAAACUCUAUUUUAACGACGUUUCUUCUGAGUGGCACAAGCAAAUAAUUAAAACUUUUAACAACGGAUCUCUUGGUUCUGGCAUCGAUGAAGAACGCAGCGAAAUGCGAUAAGUAAUGUGAAUUGCAGAAUUCAGUGAAUCAUCGAAUCUUUGAACGCACAUUGCGCCCGCCAGCAUUCUGGCGGGCAUGCCUGUUCGAGCGUCAUUUCAACCCUCAAGCCCGGCUUGGUGUUGGGGCCCUACGUUUGACGUAGGCCCUUAAAGGUAGUGGCGGACCCUCCCGGAGCCUCCUUUGCGUAGUAACUUAACGUCUCGCACUGGGAUUCGGAGGGACUCUUGCCGUAAAACCCCCAAAACUUUUACAGGUUGACCUCGGAUCAGGUAGGAAUACCCGCUGAACUUAAGCAUA
rnacentral:rRNA from 1 species